CGAACGGGUGAGUAAUACAUCGGAACGUGCCCAGUAGUGGGGGAUAGCCCGGCGAAAGCCGGAUUAAUACCGCAUACGACCUACGGGUGAAAGCGGGGGAUCGCAAGACCUCGCGCUAUUGGAGCGGCCGAUGGCAGAUUAGCUUGUUGGUGGGGUAAAGCCCACCAAGGCGACGAUCUGUAGCUGGUCUGAGAGGACGACCAGCCACACUGGGACUGAGACACGGCCCAG
rnacentral:rRNA from 1 species